rnacentral:rRNA from 1 species
CGUUCCCGGACCUUGUACACACCGCCCGCCAAGCCAUGGAAGUUGGGAGGACCUGAAGACAGUUGCUGUAAGGCGCUGUUUAGGGUUAAACCGAUGACUGGGGCU